GUCUACGGCCAUGCCACCCUGAACAAGCUCGAUGUCUGAUCCUAGAAGCUAAGCAGGGUUGGGCCUGGUUAGUACUUGAAUGGGAGACCACCUAGGAAGAUCAGGUGCUAUAAGCA
rnacentral:rRNA from 1 species